rnacentral:lncRNA from 1 species
CUAGCAAUUGGGGGAGGCGACAAAUUCGUUCCGAAUUCAUAACCCCAAUAACCCCAAAUGCCGGGUGAUGUGAAUUGAGUUAUUAUAGGUUCUGGUUCUAGUCUGUUUGCGUAGGAAAUUAGCACUGUGUUGGAAUAUAGAAAAUUCUUCAAAAUUAUCUGCUGAUGGGUCGUCGAGUAAAUUCGAUAAUUUGACAGAAAAGAGGUCCCCUGAUGUGGUUGUGGAAGAUGAGGGAGGUGAUUAUGUGCCGGGUGAAGAUGAAAAUGGCUGAACUGAUGUAAGAUGUGAGCCCGUUGUCGACUUUUUACAUGCUCAAGUUUUUUAGUGAUGUAAGAUGUGAGCCCGUUGUCGACUAGUACGUAAAGAUGGACACGUGGCGGUAGGUAAGGGGAGGGCACGUUGUUCGAGGUUCCAGCUUUAAAUGUUCCGGUAAGUAGGUUGAUUUCUGGCUAUAUAUAUCGGUGUAGUUUUAUGUUUUGAUAACUUUGCUUAGGUGAAGUGGUACUGCAACUGUUAAUAUCUGCGUGUGUGCGAAUUCUAACUUUUGUGUGGCUGUUGUUUUAGUGCAGGAAGGGUCGAUCCCGACGAAUGUUUUUGAUUUGUCCGGCGCUAUGAGUAGCUUGUCCGGGGAUUUCUUCACUGGGUUGUCUAGCGACGCGGAUCUGACUAAAGGGUUGCCUUCCCAUGGGGAUAGUGGAGAGGACCUGGCUGAAGUUACUCGAGGGGAG